UGUAACGCGUGGAUAACCUGCCUGUUAGACUGGGAUAACUCCGGGAAACCGGUGCUAAUACCAGAUAAAAAUUCUUUGGCGCAUGCCGAGGAAUUGAAAGGAUUCUGCUAACAGAUGGGUCCGCGUCCCAUUAGCUAGUUGGUGGGGUAACGGCCUACCAAGGCGACGACGGGUAGCCGGCCUGAGAGGGUGACCGGCCACACUGGGACUGAGACACGGCCCAGACUCCUACGGGAGGCAGCAGUGGGGAAUAUUCCGCAAUGGGGGAAACCCUGACGGAGCAAUGCCGCGUGAGGGAAGAAUGCCUUCGGGUUGUAAACCUUUGUUCUAUGGGAAGAUAGUGACGGUACCAUAGGAGUAAGCCCCGGCUAACUACGUGCCAGCAGCCGCGGUAAUACGUAGGGGGCGAGCGUUGUCCGGAAUCACUGGGCGUAAAGGGCGUGUAGGCGGCCUAAUAAGUUAGAGGUGAAAGCCAAGGGCUUAACCGUUGGAUUGCCUCUAAGACUGUAAGGCUUGAGUGCAGGAGAGGGAAGCGGAAUUCCUGGUGUAGCGGUGAAAUGCGUAGAUAUCAGGAGGAACACUAGUGGCGAAGGCGGCUUCCUGGCCUGUAACUGACGCUGAGGCGCGAAAGCGUGGGUAGCGAACAGGA
rnacentral:rRNA from 1 species